rnacentral:lncRNA from 1 species
AAGUAGUCAAUGAUUCAUUAAUCAAUAAGAAAAAAAAUCUUACUCUCACGGAAUACAAGCAAAUCUUUUAGUAAAUGCAUAAAGAUCAGAGAAAAACAAAAGAAACCAUAAAAUUAUAUCUAUUUUCUGUUCAACCUGCUACAGGAGCUAACAUAUUGCCAUAAUUUAUUUCAGUAAUUCCUCCAUAAAUUAUUUUCCUGGCAACCAAGCCCAGAAUCAGGAGAAAAGGUCAUUCAUCCGGUGAAAAGAAAGGAAAGAAAGAGGUCAGGGAAUAUUAAGGAUGAUAUAGUAACUAUUUUAUAUAUAUCAUAUAUGAUAAGCCAAGAAUAUCAGACUUGCCUGAGUUUACAUUUCCUCAAGUUCAUCACCUUUCUUUACUGCUGUAAAUUAGGUCAUGGCUGAAAGAUGAUGAAAACCCUAAAUCCUCCUCUCACCGUCCUCCUCCUCCUCCUCCUCCUCCUCCUCCGGCCCGCAACUUUUCGACAUCGAAGACUGAUAAUCUCCUCUUGAUGACAUUCCUCUCAGCUUUUGAAGCACCAUCGCCAUCUUUCCUUGGACAAAUUCAGUGACACCAAAAGAAAGAAAUUGAACGACGACAGAGACUGAUCCUGUGAAUUCCUUCAGAAACUGGUCACUUAGGUAGAAGUUAGAAUUAAGGUGUAGAGAGAGAGAGAGAGAGAGAGAGAGAGAGAGAGAGGGGGAGAGAGAGAGAGGG